rnacentral:rRNA from 1 species
UCGAACAGAAGAGUGAAAUAGUUCCUGAAACCGUGCGCCUACAAGCGGUCGGAGCUCGUUAAUGAGUGACGGCGUGCCUUUUGCAUAAUGAACCUACGAGUUGCCUUUGCCGGCAAGGUUAAGUGUGACGACACACGUAUCCGAAGCGAAAGCGAGUCUGAACAGGGCGUAUAGUCGGCAGUGGCAGACGCGAAACCAAGUGAUCUACCCUUGGCCAGGUUGAAGGCUGGGUAACACCAGCUGGAGGACCGCACCAAUAAGCGUUGAAAAGCUUCUGGAUGAGCUGAGGGUAGGGGUGAAAGGCUAAUCAAACUUGGAGAUAGCUCGUACUCCCCGAAAUGCAUUUAGGUGCAGCCUUGACCAUUACUAAUGUGAGGUAGAGCGACUGAUAAGAUGCGAGGGCUUCACCGCCUAUCAAGUCUUGAUAAACUCCGAAUGCGCAUUAGUUCGAGGUCAGGAGUGAGGGCAUGGGUGCUAAGGUCCGUGCCCGAGAGGAGAAGAAUCCGGACCACCUGCUAAGGUCCCGAAAUGACAGCUAAGUUAAACUAACGAAGUCAGAUUGCUAAGACAGCUAGGAUGUUGGCUUGGAAGCAGCCAUUCAUUUAAAGAGUGCGUAACAGCUCACUAGUCGAGGAGUUUGGCGUGGAUAAUAAUCGGGCAUCAAGCAUCUUACCGAAGCUAUGGGAUCAUUAAUGAUCGGUAGGGGAGCAUUCCACUCCGCGUCGAAGGUGAAGCGUGAGCUUUGCUGGAGCGUGUGGAAAAGCAAAUGUAGGUAUAAGUAACGAUAAAGGGGGUGAGAAACCCCCUCGCCGAAAGACUAAGGUUUCCUGAUCAACGCUAAUCGGAUCAGGGUCAGUCGGGUCCUAAGGUUCAGCCGAACGGCGAGACCGAUGGCAGAAACGGUUAAUAUUCCGUUACUACCUUAUGGGGUGACGUGGAGACGCAGGAGUGACACCACCGCGAACUGACGGAAUAGUUCGUUAAAGGAUGUAGGCGUAGAUUUCCGCAGGCAAAUCCGUGGAAAGAGCCGAAUCUGACAGUAUGAAGCGUCCUUCGGGAUAAUUCAACAGUGUGGGUAAGCAUGCUGCCGAGAAAAUCCGCUAAACUUAACUCAUGAGGUACCCGUACCGCAAACGGACACACGUAGUCGGGUUGAAUAUACUAAGGCGCUUGAGUGAUUCACGGUUAAGGAACUAGGCAAACUGACCCUGUAACUUCGGGAUAAAGGGUCCCUACCCGGUGACGGGAGGGCGCAGAGAAUAGGUCCAGGCAACUGUUUAACAAAAACACAGGGCUGUGCCAAUAUGAAAGUAGACGUAUACAGCCUGACACCUGCCCGGUGCUGGAAGGUUAAGAGGAGAUGUCAUCGCAAGAGAAGCAUUGAAUUGAAGCCCCAGUAAACGGCGGCCGUAACUAUAACGGUCCUAAGGUAGCGAAAUUCCUUGUCGGGU